UCGCCUACGGGACGCAGCAGUGAGGAAUAUUGGUCAAUGGGCGGGAGCCUGAACCAGCCAAGUCGCGUGAGGGAAGACGGUCCUGUGGAUUGUAAACCUCUUUUGUCGGGGAGCAAGACCGCCUCGGGCAGGCGGAGCGAGAGUACCCGAAGAAAAAGCAUCGGCUAACUCCGUGCCAGCAGCCGCGGUAAUACGGAGGAUGCGAGCGUUAUCCGGAUUUAUUGGGUUUAAAGGGUGCGCAGGCGGACCAUCAAGUCAGCGGUAAAAUCGUGGGGCCCAACCCCAUCCCGCCGUUGAA
rnacentral:rRNA from 1 species